AUUGAACGCUGGCGGCAGGCCUAACACAUGCAAGUCGAGCGGAUGAAGAGAGCUUGCUCUCUGAUUCAGCGGCGGACGGGUGAGUAAUGCCUAGGAAUCUGCCUGGUAGUGGGGGACAACGUUUCGAAAGGAACGCUAAUACCGCAUACGUCCUACGGGAGAAAGCAGGGGACCUUCGGGCCUUGCGCUAUCAGAUGAGCCUAGGUCGGAUUAGCUAGUAGGUGGGGUAAAGGCUCACCUAGGCGACGAUCCGUAACUGGUCUGAGAGGAUGAUCAGUCACACUGGAACUGAGACACGGUCCAGACUCCUACGGGAGGCAGCAGUGGGGAAUAUUGGACAAUGGGCGGAAGCCUGAUCCAGCCAUGCCGCGUGUGUGAAGAAGGUCUUCGGAUUGUAAAGCACUUUAAGUUGGGAGGAAGGGCAGUAAGUUAAUACCUUGCUGUUUUGACGUUACCAACAGAAUAAGCACCGGCUAACUUCGUGCCAGCCGCCGCAGUAACAC
rnacentral:rRNA from 1 species